rnacentral:rRNA from 1 species
GGAGGCAGCAGGUGGGGAAUAUUGCACAAUGGGCGCAAGCCUGAUGCAGCCAUGCCGCGUGUGUGAAGAAGGCCUUCGGGUUGUAAAGCACUUUCAGUUGUGAGGAAAGGGGUGUAGUUAAUACCUGCACUCUGUGACGUUAACAACAGAAGAAGCACCGGCUAACUCCGUGCCAGCAGCCGCGGUAAUACGGAGGGUGCGAGCGUUAAUCGGAAUUACUGGGCGUAAAGCGCACGCAGGUGGAAUGUUAAGCUAGAUGUGAAAGCCCAGCGCUCAACGUUGGACGGUCAUUUAGAACUGGCAUUCUAGAGUUUUGGAGAGGGGAGUGGAAUUCCAGGUGUAGCGGUGAAAUGCGUAGAGAUCUGGAGGAACAUCAGUGGCGAAGGCNACUCUCUGGCCAAAAACUGACACUCAUGUGCGAAAGUGUGGGUAGCGAACAGGAUUAGAUACCCUGGUAGUCCACACCGUAAACGCUGUCUACUAGCUGUUUGUGAGUUUAACUCGUGAGUAGCGAAGCUAACGCGCUAAGUAAACCGCCUGGGGAGUACGGUCGCAAGAUUAAAACUCAAA